ensembl:lncRNA
CUCAGAAAUAGUUUUGUCACUUUUAAUGAACUUUAAAAUGUUGUUUGGUAAAGAGCAUCACAGAUGAUUUAAAUACAGUAAGCUGAAUGAGAACUCAUUUCUGAGUUUCUAUGGCAUCACUGUAAAAAAUAAAUACAUAAAUCUGUCACUUCCUAUUUUUACAGUUGUACUUUUGGUCCUUCUGCAACACUGAUAGACUUAGGAAGCAGAACCACUGAGCUCUACCUUAGUGUCUCAUGACUUUCCUGGGCUUGACGUGAUCCUAUUUUCCUUGUGCUUAUUUUCAUAUCCUCUAGAGGGAGAAGUAAGUUGCUCAGACUGUCGGAAGAUCUGCUGAGAAUGAAUUAGUGUAUGAACAGUGCUAAUCAUGUUCCUGUAAAUUUUGGUGGAUCUGUUAUGUGGCACCUAUGCCUUUUAGUUCUGCUGAGUUUGUAGUUCCUGGGCAAAGUGUUAUGCUCUCAAAGGUGAUAGGGGCAUAAUUUGUUCUGGGCCAGGCAGGGCUCCAGCUGGUAUUAAUGAUGGAUUUAGGAUGAGAGUGCAGGCAGCACAUGACGAACACCAAGGAGACAUUUUUCCUGUGUGUAUGAAGACCUGUGGUGAGAAUCUAAAGCAUCCUAAGGAUACCACUCUGCAACUGUUCAAACUUGUGGGCAUAAACUACAAUCUUGUGUAAUGCAAUAGACAGUAACUGCUUUCCCACACAAACUAGCUGUAAGCACAAUUUGAGUAAUUGACAGCUGUUAUUUUUCUUUCCCUAUGAUUGUUUAUUUUCAAAGGGCAGAAAUAAGGACAAACUUGGCCUUUCUUCAUGGCAUGCAACAGCCCGCCUCUGAUCUCUGCAGCCCGUGUGUACCUGUAAGCUCUCCCAAGCAAGAAUGUGAACAUCAGACCUAGCCUACAGCACUGGAUUUAAGAUGCUCUCCAACCUACCCUGGAGAUCCAUGUCUGCUUCGGAGCUCAGCGGCCAUGAGUCUUGAACUGUGUUGAGCAGGAGUGGCUGCUGGCAGUGUUGCUUGGUGUUUGAUUUCUGUUGUGCGUUUUGGUUUUGGAUUGGUGGGCUUUAUUAAUUGCUUUGUUUUAAGAUAUCUGGUUAUAUGGGGCUGCAGCACAGCAGGAUGACAGAUGGGCUGUGACCCUUCUCCUGGUAUUAAUGCUGGGCCAAGGAAGCGAUGGGGAUGGAGAACAGAAAGCUGGACCUGUGGCUAGCUUCUGGAGGACACUUGAAGCCAAAGAAUUUACUUGGCAUUCCUUCUCUUAAGCCUUGCUUUUCACCUCCUUUUACCUAAUCCGACCCCUGCCUCUUGCAGCUUGACAUGAGCACCAUGCUUGAGGCAGAGAGAUGUUGCAGACCAUUACCAGCACUUUGGCAUAGGAUCUUGACAGCAAGUCUGAAAAGAUUUCUUUAUGGAUUCUUCACUAUGUAAUUCUGCUUCUGUGAGGUGACUGAUGGAUCUCUGCAAGGUGCAGUUCAGCUGGGGCCUGAUGGGAGCUGGAGCACAGAGGACGUGAGGAGAGAAUGGCUCAGCAUCUUCCCUGACCAGGUUUUCAGGACUUCUGCUAAGGUGGCAGACACAACCUGGGCGACCACCAGUGGAUCAGCUUGUAAGAAGAAGGGGGACCAUAUUGCUGGAGGAACACCGUGAAGACUUCUGGCUUGUGGCCAUGCCCCAUCUCACCCCUCCUCAGGAGCCUUAUCAGCUGCCUCAGUGCAAGAUACCACUUCUCCUAGCAAGUCUCCUGCUCUGCCUAUAGCUGG